AGGUCAGCCAAUGGGAAAGGAGGAACCCAAUGGGCAUACGUCGUGAUAAAGACGUCUUUUACUGGUUGAAAUCUGGUCGGGACGUCUUAUAACUAGAUCACAACCGGAUUAAGACAUCUUAUCAAUUCAUUAACACCAAUCUAUACAAACGUUAGCUAGUUUUAAGUAGCUAACGUUAGUCCUCUGGCUAAUCCUCCAUGGACAUGUUUCUGAAACAUAUAAGUGACCUGAUGCAUGGCCUCUACAGCAGUGCUUGGCCAGCCACUCAGUUACGAAUGACUUAUUCAGCCACAUUCCAGGGAGAGAGCAGAACCACCCCUCAUUCAAUCCAUAGUUACUGAAGAUCUGCCCCAUCACACCAGUCUUCAAGAGGGCCACUAUGCUCCAGAUCUGACCCAUCACACCACUCUUCAAGAGGGCCACUAUACUCCAGAUCUGACCCAUCACACCACUCUUCAAGAGGGCCACUAUGCUCCAGAUCUGACCCAUCACACCACUCUUCAAGAGGGCCACUACGUUCUAGAUCUGACCCAUCACACCAGUCUUCAAGAGGGCCACUAUGCUCCAGAUCUGACCCAUCACACCACUCUUCAAGAGGGCCACUACGUUCUAGAUCUGACCCAUCACACCAGUCUUCAAGAGGGCCACUGUGCUCCAGAUCUGACCCAUCACACCACAUUUCAAGAGGGCCACUAUGCUCCAGAUCUGACACAUCACACCAGUCUUCAAGAGGGCCACUAUGAUCUAUCACAAAUGUGACUGUUUUUACGAGGGAAAGUUAACCUUUUGAUACCAUGUGAAUUAAUUUAGGGGAAGGGGUUUAUUUUUACGAUAUCUGGCAAAAUCCUUGAGUUUAUUUUAAUGAGCAAUGGGUACAUAACAUUUGUUUAAUCUCACAUUCUUUAGUCAUUGUGGUAAAUCUGUGAUAAAUGUGUGUAGAGACAGACAGAUUUAGAAAACAACAAAUAAUAUCACAAAUACAUUGUUGAGUGAGUCAUAUAAACAUUUAUUUAGUUUGUAAAUUGUAAACUUGCAAAUCACAUAUACAUGGUCAGUUUGUUAACCCAUUUACACAUGAAAUAUGGUGCUGAACAUGUAGUGAUAUGUGAGAGAUUGUCAAAAGGUACAAUUCUCGUAGUGGCAAUGUCAUAUAACCAACUGAACAAAGACACAGUUUUUUAUAUAUCAACUGUAGUCUUGGAGAGAGAAAAUAAUACCAUAAUAUUAAAGGUAAUAUUUAGUAUUUAAUAUUAGAGUUCACCUAAUUUUAGUUUAUAUGACAAAACAAGCAAUGCAUCGUGUAGAGAACCAUUGUACCAUACAAACCGCUGUGAAAUAUCUUUUCAAAAUCCCCAAAUAUAGCAUUUUCAGCUGUUUGAAGCUGGUGUACAAAACCAAAUAGACACAAAAACGAAAUUUAAGAACGGGAAGCAUAGAAAUAGCGCACAUCUUCCACUUCUUAGACUUGCUUUCAAUGAGAAUUACAGAUCUUUAACUCACUUUUCUACGUGAACUUGGUCAGGUCGCCCAAAAAAUAACAUAUUGUAGCUUUAAUAAACAUUCAUAGAUAUAAUAUACUGCAUUUAUAUUCAUAUAAGCAAUUUUUAACAUGCAAUUGUAAACUUUGUGCCGAUGCCAUCUUAUCAAUCUUGCGAGCAAGUUCCUGCUCUUAGCGACAAAAAGCACCUGGCUAUGUACACUAAUAUUUUUGAUUAAUUCUUUCUUUAAUCUAUUUUUAGGGUUGUUUUCAAAUUUGAAAUGCGGUACCCUGGUGCGGUUCUCCAGAGCGUUUGAGAGACUUCGACAUAAUACGUUUGGGUUUCACAAUGCAAUUUCUUUAACAUAUCAGAAUUCGUUCUGAAAUUCUGGGACUGUCUGCGUUAAAACCCUGCUAGCUCAAACAUGGAGACCAAUUUACAAUUAUUUGUACUGUGUCUUGUGAUUUCUUUGAACUAAGUACUACAACAGUAUUCUUUUUCCAUAAAUUCUUAAUCUUUUUUAUUCUUUAUUGAUUUUCAAAUUGUCAAAUCAUUUAUAUGAUUCAUCUCACAAAUUACACCUAUGAUGGAUGUUCGCUCUUCCUAGUGUCAAUAAUUAUGAAUUCAUGGAUGAUAUAAUUGUUCUAGUGCCAAUAAUGAUAGUUAAUAAUAUAUAGAUUAAUAUAAACAGAUCAACAAAUCAAUAACUUGAAAAAUUAAGGAAGAAUGGAUCAAAAUACGAGAUGAUCACAAGCAAAGAUGUGGUCUACUAGCCAAGCUGGCCCAAAACCCUUCAAUUCCAUCCCUGAUCACAAGUACACGGACCAAUAGAUGACGUUGAAGAAGAGGAAGGAGAAGGGGAAGAGGGCUCGGGCAUAGAGGUCGACCCGCUUGGCAGCUGAGGGGAUGAUGGGCUUGGGCGGCGGCGGUUUCUUGGCCUUGGCCUGGCUUUUGCUCAGGCCGUGGGGCAAGGUAAUGGGCUUCCCGUAGCAGUCAAAGUUCGAGAGCUCAAAGUCCCGCGGUAGUGAGCCAACAAUGCUGAAGUCGUUGGUGCGCAGGUCCGAUUUGGAGGUGCACACCUUUUUGCACCGGGUCUCUGCCCCCUGGAAAAGGGAAAGUUGGUAAACAUAACUUUGUUGAUGGGAAAGUGGUCUUUUUGCUAUCAGAGUACCCACCCCACAAUCACACCACACACACACAAUCACAGAAGGCUGGGGAGAGCACAGGGUCAGGAAAAAAGCAGUGCCCCUUGAGCAGGUUAGGGGUCAAGUGCCUCACCUGGUGGUAAGGUAGUGAUGGGAGCCAUUGAAAACAUU